rnacentral:rRNA from 1 species
UACGUAGGCAGCGAGCGUUGUUCGGAAUUACUGGGCGUAAAGAGUGUGUAGGCGGUGCUCUAAGUUCGGUGUGAAAUCUCCUGCUCAACUGGGAGGGUGCGCCGGAAACUGGAGUGCUUGAGCGUGGGGAGAGGAAAGCGGAAUUCCUGGUGUAGCGGUGAAAUGCGUAGAUAUCAGGAGGAACACCUGUGGUGUAGACGGCUUUCUGGACCAUAGCUGACGCUGAGACACGAAAGCGUGGGUAGGCAAACAGG